AUCCUGGCUUAGGACGAACGCUGGCGGCGUGCUUAACACAUGCAAGUCGAACGGGGCGAAGAGGAGCUUGCUCUUCCUAGCCUAGUGGCAAACGGGUGAGUAACGCGUAGGCAACCUGCCCUUCAGAUGGGGACAACAUUUCGAAAGGAAUGCUAAUACCGAAUGAUGUACAUUGGUCGCAUGACCGAUGUACCAAAGGCCGGGCAACCGGUCACUGAAGGAUGGGCCUGCGUCUGAUUAGCUAGUUGGUGGGGUAACGGCUCACCAAGGCGACGAUCAGUAGCCGGUCUGAGAGGAUGAACGGCCACAUUGGGACUGAGACACGGCCCAAACUCCUACGGGAGGCAGCAGUGGGGAAUCUUCCGCAAUGGGCGCAAGCCUGACGGAGCAACGCCGCGUGAGUGAAGAAGGUUUUCGGAUCGUAAAGCUCUGUUGUCAGGGACGAGAGACUUGAUCAGGAAAUGGGUCAAGGAGGACGGUACCUGACGAGAAAGCCACGGCUAACUACGUGCCAGCCGCGGC
rnacentral:rRNA from 1 species